UGCUGGAGGUAUCAGAAGUGCGAAUGCUGACAUAAGUAACGAUAAAGCGGGUGAAAAGCCCGCUCGCCGGAAGACCAAGGGUUCCUGUCCAACGUUAAUCGGGGCAGGGUGAGUCGACCCCUAAGGCGAGGCCGAAAGGCGUAGUCGAUGGGAAACAGGUUAAUAUUCCUGUACUUGGUGUUACUGCGAAGGGGGGACGGAGAAGGCUAUGUUAGCCGGGCGACGGUUGUCCCGGUUUAAGCAUGUAGGCUGAUUGUCCAGGCAAAUCCGGAUAAUCAAGGCUGAGGUGUGAUGACGAGGCACUACGGUGCUGAAGUAACAAAUGCCCUGCUUCCAGGAAAAGCCUCUAAGCAUCAGGUAACAU
rnacentral:rRNA from 1 species